UACGAGGCAGCAGGGGGAAUAUUGCACAAUGGGCGAAAGCCUGAUGCAGCUAUGCCGCGUGUAUGAAGAAGGCCUUAGGGUUGUAAAGUACUUUCAUCGGGGAGGAAAAACAAAACUAAUAAUUUUAUUUCUUGACGUUACCCGAAAAAGAAGCACCGGCUAACUCCGUGCCAGCAGCCGCGGUAAUACGGAGGGUGCUAGCGUUAAUCAGAAUUACUGGGCGUAAAGAGCACGUAGGUGGUUUUUUUAAGUCAGAUGUGAAAUCCCUGGGCUUAACCUAGGAACUGCAUUUUGAAACUGAAAUACUAGAGUAUCGUAGAGGGAGGUAGAAUUCUAGGUGUAGCGGUGAAAUGCGUAGAUAUCUGGAGGAAUACCUGUGGCGAAAGCGGCCUCCUAAACGAAUACUGACACUGAGGUGCGAAAGCGUGGGGAGCAAACAGGGAUUAGAUACC
rnacentral:rRNA from 1 species